UAUUGGACAAUGGGGGGAACCCUGAUCCAGCGACGCCGCGUGAGUGAAGAAGUAUUUCGGUAUGUAAAGCCCUAUCAGCAGGGAAGAAAGAAAUGACGGUACCUGACUAAGAAGCCCCGGCUAACUACGUGCCAGCAGCCGCGGUAAUACGUAGGCGGCAAGCGUUAUCCGGAUUUACUGGGUGUAAAGGGAGCGUAGACGGCGAUGCAAGUCUGAAGUGAAAAGCGGGGGCCCAACCCCCGGACUGCUUUGGAAACUGUAUGGCUGGAGUGCAGGAGAGGUAAGUGGAAUUGCUAGUGUAGCGGUGAAAUGCGUAGAUAUUAGGAGGAACACCAGUGGCGAGGGCGGCUUACUGGACUGUAACUGACGUUGAGGCUCGAGAGCGUGGGGAGCAA
rnacentral:rRNA from 1 species